rnacentral:rRNA from 1 species
UACGGAGGGUGCAAGCGUUUGUCCGGAUUUAUUGGGUUUAAAGGGGUGCGUAGGCGGCUUUUUUAAGUCAGUGGUGAAAUACAGCAGCUCAACUGUUGAGGUGCCAUUGAUACUGAGAGGCUUGAGUACAGAUGAGGUAGGCGGAAUUUAUGGUGUAGCGGUGAAAUGCAUAGAUACCAUAAAGAACACCGAUUGCGAAGGCAGCUUACUAAGCUGUAACUGACGCUGAGGCACGAAAGCGUGGGGAGCGAACAGG